AUUGAACGCUGGCGGCAGGCUUAACACAUGCAAGUCGAGCGAGCGGCGGACGGGUGAGUAAUGUCUGGGAAUCUGCCUGAUGGAUGGGGAUAACUACUGGAAACUGUAGCUAAUACCGCAUACCAUCAGAUGUGCCCAGAGGGGAUUAGCUAGUGGGUGGGGUAAUGGCUCACCUAGGCGACGAUCCCUAGCUGGUCUGAGAGGAGGACCAGCAAAACUGGACCUGAGACACGGUCCAGACUCCUAGGGGAGGCAGCAGUGGGGAAUAUUGCACAAUGGGCGAAAGCCUGAUGCAGCCAUGCCGCGUGUGUGAAGAAGGCCUUCGGGUUGUAAAGCACGUUCAGCGAGGAGGCGUUACUCGCAGAAGAAGCACCGACUAACUCCGUGCCAGCAGCCGCGGUAAUAC
rnacentral:rRNA from 1 species